AUUGAACGCUGGCGGCAUGCCUUACACAUGCAAGUCGAACGGCAGCACGGGAGCAAUCCUGGUGGCGAGUGGCGAACGGGUGAGUAAUAUAUCGGAACGUGCCCAGUCGUGGGGAUAACGUAGCGAAAGCUACGCUAAUACCGCAUACGAUCUAUGGAUGAAAGCGGGGGAUCGCAAGACCUCGCGCGAUUGGAGCGGCCGAUAUCAGAUUAGGUAGUUGGUGAGGUAAAGGCUCACCAAGCCGACGAUCUGUAGCUGGUCUGAGAGGACGACCAGCCACACUGGAACUGAGACACGGUCCAGACUCCUACGGGAGGCAGCAGUGGGGAAUUUUGGACAAUGGACGCAAGUCUGAUCCAGCCAUUCCGCGUGCAGGAUGAAGGCCCUCGGGUUGUAAACUGCUUUGUACGGAACGAAAGGUUUCUAUUAAUACUAGGAGCUCAUGACGGUACCGUAAGAAUAAGACACCGGCUAACUACGUG
rnacentral:rRNA from 1 species